rnacentral:tRNA from 1 species
GAUGUCUUGCCAGAGUGGUUAAUGGGUAUGACUCGAACGCCAUGCUACUAGAUAUCAUAUGCCUUCGGGCGCGCAGGUUCGAAUCCUGCAGACAUCG